rnacentral:rRNA from 1 species
UGGCUCCCGCGGGCGAUUCCAGCAUGGUGGUCGUCGGCUCCGCGGACUCGAAGAUGAAGACGGAGGUGGAGGAGAGCGAGCUGGCCGAAGGUGAGGCGGUUCCAACCCUAGCCGCCGCAGUGGGUCACCAGCGCCGCGUCUCCCUCACCUCUGUCGGCCGACAGCACCAACGGUUGCUUUCCUCCUGCCUUCAUGCGCGCCAGCAACCGGGACCUGCAGCCUCCACCACCGGUGUCGGAAUUAUGUCAGGGAAGGAAAUCAAGGGCUUGCGGAAGAGAUAGGAGGUCCAUGGAGAAGAUGCUCUGCUCCACCUCCAACCCACCCUGCCUGCUACUACAGGAACAGGAUGCCAUGGAAGGUACAGUGGUGCUGCUGGUUCCUUGAGGCGGGGUCGAGUUGAGGUAGGGGAUAGGUAGGUUGAGCCGCUCGGGUGCUGAUCAUGUACAUCGGCACUCCUUCUGGGGUUGACCCGACCAAACCAAUGAUGCAAGGCUUCUCCUGCUGCUGCAUGUCUUCAUCAACUUAGUUCUUCCACAGGGAGAGAUCUAAAUCCUUCACUUGUUCACUGUGUAAUCUGCAGAUUACUUCUUCCAUUAAUCACCUAGUGCUCCUGUUAGUGAGAUUCAUCUAGUAUUUUUUUCCAAAGCAUGCAAUGGUUUGGAGUAGUUGAUCAUGGCCUGAUGGAAACUUCAUGUCCUUAGCAUGUAUAUAUGUACUACUACAGCAGCCAGAAGCAAUCCAUUUUAUUAAAUGCAUUCAUCUCAUUACACUAGCUACCCCAACUUGUUUGGGACUAAAGGCUUUGUUGUUGUUGUUGUAUUCAUCUCAUUACACUAGCUAGCACAAUAUAUUAGUUAAGGCAACUCUACUACAUAUCAAUUUCCCCUACUGGAUUGGUUCUAUAUUUUUAAAGUUGUUUCGUGGUGCAUGAGCCCAACCUGAAGAAAUAUAGGCUUAUGAUGACUAUUUUCCUUCUUAAGUAAUCAUAGUUGUUGGCUUCGGUAGCUUGCUGAAUAUGUUUUAGUUAUAUAUAGAUAUGAUGUGCCUUCUAUGCUUAAAUGAUUGUUUGGCUCUAUAUAAUUGUUGACAUGAAUAUCUUGACUUCCCAAACAAGUAUAGGACUGUACCUAUGCAUACAGAUUAUCCUAACAAAACUGAAAAUAAAAAUUGAAGCAUGAAAUAAGCAAUAAGUGGCUGAUUUUUAUUUGCAUGUUAAGCGGAAAGUUGUAGAUAAGGCUUGUAUAU